rnacentral:rRNA from 1 species
CGCGUGUGUGAAGAAGGCCUUCGGGUUGUAAAGCACUUUCAGUAAGGAGGAAGCGUUGAGUGUUAAUAGUACUCAGCGUUGACGUUACUUACAGAAGAAGCACCGGCUAACUCUGUGCCAGCAGCCGCGGUAAUACAGAGGGUGCAAGCGUUAAUCGGAAUUACUGGGCGUAAAGCGCACGUAGGCGGUUUUUUAAGUCAGAUGUGAAAGCCCCGGGCUCAACCUGGGAAUUGCAUUUGAAACUGGAAAACUAGAGUGUGUGAGAGGGGGGUAGAAUUCCAAGUGUAGCGGUGAAAUGCGUAGAGAUUUGGAGGAAUACCAGUGGCGAAGGCGGCCCCCUGGCACAACACUGACGCUCAGGUGCGAAAGCGUGGGGAGCAAACAGGAUUAGAUACCCUGGUAGUCCACGCCGUAAACGAUGUCUACUAGCUGUUCGUGACCUUGUGUCGUGAGUAGCGCAGCUAACGCACUAAGUAGACCGCCUGGGGAGUACGGUCGCAAGAUUAAAACUCAAAUGAAUUGACGGGGGCCCGCACAAGCGGUGGAGCAUGUGGUUUAAUUCGACGCAACGCGAAGAACCUUACCUACUCUUGACAUCCAGAGAAGACUGCAGAGAUGCGGUUGUGCCUUCGGGAACUCUGAGACAGGUGCUGCAUGGCUGUCGUCAGCUCGUGUUGUGAAAUGUUGGGUUAAGUCCCGCAACGAGCGCAACCCUUAUCCUUAGUUGCCAGCGCGUAAUGGCGGGAACUCUAGGGAGACUGCCGGUGAUAAACCGGAGGAANGUGGGGACGACGUCAAGUCAUCAUGGCCCUUACGAGUAGGGCUACACACGUGCUACAAUGGUAUGUANCANGAGNGGAGGCAAGCUGGCCGACAGUGNA